rnacentral:tRNA from 1 species
GGGGAUAUGACGAAGUGGUAUCGUGCAUCAUUUGCAUUCUAUCUGCCUUUCGGCAGUAAUUAGAAAUGACUUGAUGAAAUCCCGUGUUCGAUCCGCGGUAUCUCCA